rnacentral:piRNA from 1 species
AAUGCUAUGUGCCUGACCCACCGGGGAGGC